rnacentral:rRNA from 1 species
UACGUAGGGGGGCAAGCGUUGUCCGGAAUCAUUGGGCGUAAAGCGCGUGUAGGCGGCCAGAAAAGUCCGCUGUGAAAACUCGAGGCUCAACUUCGAGCUGUCGGUGGAAACUUUCUGGCUAGAGUCCGGAAGAGGAGAAUGGAAUUCCUGGUGUAGCGGUGAAAUGCGCAGAUAUCAGGAGGAACACCAAUGGCGAAGGCAGCUCGCUGGGACGGUACUGACGCUGAGGUGCGAAAGCGUGGGGAGCAAACAGG